rnacentral:lncRNA from 1 species
AGAAGAGCUGUAUCCAUUAAGUCAAGAAGCUCAAUGUGUAAUUAAGAUGAAUGAUACUGAGCUGACAUCCUAAAAAGGAAAGAUUAGGGGAACUCCAAGUUUGCCCUCCACUCACUACAUAUGGGUAGGGGAGCAACGAUAUUCCAACUCUGAAGAAAGAGUGGAAAAAAAGUAGUGUUAAAAAUUUGUAUUAGUUUCCAAGGGACAAAGAAGCGCUGCCCAAUCAAUGAGGGCCAUUCGUAGCUGUCAACCAAUCAGAACUGAUGAGCUAAUAUUUCCUGAGGCAAGCCAGGGAGCCGGAGGGGAAGCUAAGAAGCUUAUUGAGAAAAAACAAAAACCCUGUUUUAGGAAAAAAAAAAACCAUCUUUUAGCGAUUAUGAAAUAAAAUCACAGAGACAUUUAAGUAUCCCUCAAUCAUGUACUGAGAGCAAUACUAAAUUUAUCGCCACCAAUACAGUUUUACUCUAUUAAAAAGACCCUGAAAAUUGAAACCCUAUUCAGACUCCUGGAAUACCCAGGACACUAAAUU